rnacentral:snRNA from 1 species
GGAUAAGACUGAAACAUA